CGUCCCCUUCAGUCGUCGGUAGGUCUGCUCUAGAACUUUCUCCAGUUGUCGGUAGGUCUACUCUAGAACUUUCUCCAGUCGUCGGUAGGUCUGCUCUAGAACUUUCUCCAGUUGUCAGUAGGUCUACUCUAGAACUUUCUCCUGUUGUCAGUAGGUCUGCUCUAGAACUUUCUCCAGUUGUCGGUAGGUCUGCUCUAGAACUUUCUCCAGUUGUCGGUAGGUCUGCUCUAGAACUUUCUCCAGUUGUCGGUAGGUCUGCUCUAGAACUUUCUCCAGUUGUCGGUAGGUCUGCUCUAGAACUUUCUCCAGUUGUCGGUAGGUCUGCUCUAGAACUUUCUCCAGUUGUCGGUAGGUCUGCUCUAGAACUUUCUCCAGUUGUCGGUAGGUCU